UUUGGAACACCAGUCUCGAGGAGAGGACGGCGUUCGAUGGUGCAGAGGAAUUCAGUGUCACGGGGAACUCGGAAAUCGACUUCCUUUCUGGCUUGGGAAAGGAUCUUCGUGAGCUUCGAAAUCUGAGCUUGAAUUUUACUUUGCACUCGGAAGUUUUUCAAUAGAAAUAUUCAUUUUCUGACGAGACGGUAACGUGCUCGAGGGAUCGAUUCUAGGAUGAGGAUAUUGUAGGAGAUCUACUUUAGGAGGAAGAAGGUUUUUUGAUGAAUCUACUUUAAAAAUGGGGACAUUGUUUCCAUAGGAGCUGAAAAUAAGGACGCUGCUCCUGAGACUUCUGAGUUAAAAAUGGAGAAAAAAUGAAAUGACUAUGGUGCUAAGAAUUUCUGAGGAAGAACGCUGUUUCUUCCUGCUUUGCACCGUUAGUGUUAAAUUACGAUACUGACGUAACUGCGAUUUGUGAGUAUAAUAUAUCACAAUUUAUGCCAAGCACCGUCAGCGGAAGCACCACUUUGCAAAUAAUUUGAAAUUAUAUACAGUUAUCAGAC